CCUACGGGUGGUUGCAGUGAGGAAUAUUGGUCAAUGGGCGGAAGCCUGAACCAGCCAAGUAGCGUGCAGGAUGACGGCCCUACGGGUUGUAAACUGCUUUUAUACGGGCAUAACGCGCCUUACGUGUAGGGCUUUGCAUGUACCGUCUGAAUAAGGACCGGCUAAUUCCGUGUCAGCAGCCGCGGUAAUACGGAAGGUCAGGGCGUUAUCCGGAUUUAUUGGGGUUAAAGGGAGCGUAGGCCGCAUGUCAAGCGUGCUGUGAAAUGUCCGGGCUCAACCCGGGCCUUGCAGCGCGAACUUGCGUGCUGGAGUCCGCGGAAAGCAGGCGGAAUUCGUCGUGUAGCGGUGAAAUGCUUAGAUAUGACGAAGAACCCCGAUUGCGAAGGCAGCUGGCUGCAGCGGAACUGACGCUUAUGCUCGAAAGCGCGGGUAUCGAACAGGAUUAGAUACCCCGUGUAGUC
rnacentral:rRNA from 1 species